rnacentral:rRNA from 1 species
GUGAAAGGCUAAUCAAACCGGGAGAUAGCUGGUUCUCCCCGAAAUCUAUUUAGGUAGAGCCUCGGACGAAUACUUACGGGGGUAGAGCACUGUUAAGGCUAGGGGGUCAUCCCGACUUACCAACCCUUUGCAAACUCCGAAUACCGUAAAGUAAUAUCCGGGAGACACACGGCGGGUGCUAACGUCCGUCGUGAAGAGGGAAACAACCCAGACCGCCAGCUAAGGUCCCAAAGUCAUAGUUAAGUGGGAAACGAUGUGGAAAGGCCCAGACAGCCAGGAGGUUGGCUUAGAAGCAGCCAUCCUUUAAAGAAAGCGUAAUAGCUCACUGGUCGAGUCGGUCUGCGCGGAAGAUGUAACGGGGCUAAACUAUGCACCGAAGCUGCGGAUUCAUCUUAGGAUGAGUGGUAGGGGAGCGUUCUGUAAGCGGUUGAAGGUGUACCGGGAGGUAUGCUGGACGUAUCAGAAGUGCGAAUGCUGACAUGAGUAACGAUAAUGCGGGUGAAAAACCCGCACGCCGGAAGACCAAGGGUUCCUAUCCCAUGUUAAUCAGGGUAGGGUAAGUCGACCCCUAAGGCGAGGCCGAAAGGCGUAGUCGAUGGGAAACGGAUUAAUAUUUCCGUACUUGGUAUAAUUGCGAUGGGGGGACGGAGAAGGCUAAGCAAGCAUGGCGAUGGUUGUCCAUGUGAAAGUGAGUAGGCUAGCGACUUAGGUAAAUCCGGGUUGCUGUUAGGCUGAGACACGAGACGAGCACCUAAGGGUGUGAAGUUGCUGAUGCCAUACUUCCAGGAAAAGCCUCUAAGCUUCAGAUUAUACCGAAUCGUACCCCAAACCGACACAGGUGGUCAGGUAGAGAAUACUAAGGCGCUUGAGAGAACUCGGGUGAAGGAACUAGGCAAAAUCGUACCGUAACUUCGGGAGAAGGUACGCUCCUAUCUGUGAUGAGACUUGCUCUCUAAGCGGACGGGAGCCGCAGUGACCAGGUGGCUGGGACUGUUUAUUAAAAACACAGCACUGUGCAAAAUCGCAAGAUGACGUAUACGGUGUGACACCUGCCCGGUGCCGGAAGGUUAAUUGAUGGGGUUAUCUUCGGAGAAGCUCUUGAUCGAAGCCCCGGUAAACGGCGGCCGUAACUAUAACGGUCCUAAGGUAGCGAAAUUCCUUGUCGGGUAAGUUCCGACCUGCACGAAUGGUGUAACCAUGGCCACGCUGUCUCCACCCGAGACUCAGUGAAAUUGAAAUCGCAGUGAAGAUGCUGUGUACCCGCGGCUAGACGGAAAGACCCCGUGAACCUUUACUACAGCUUGGCACUGAACAUUGAACCUACAUGUGUAGGAUAGGUGGGAGACUUUGAAGAUGAGACGCUAGUCUUGUUGGAGUCGUCCUUGAAAUACCACCCUUGUAGUUUUGAUGUUCUAACGUUGGCCCCUGAAUCGGGGUUACGGACAGUGCCUGGUGGGUAGUUUGACUGGGGCGGUCUCCUCCCAAAGAGUAACGGAGGAGCACGAAGGUUGGCUAAGUACGGUCGGACAUCGUACGGUUAGUGUAAUGGUAGAAGCCAGCUUAACUGCGAGACAGACACGUCGAGCAGGUACGAAAGUAGGUCAUAGUGAUCCGGUGGUUCUGAAUGGAAGGGCCAUCGCUCAACGGAUAAAAGGUACUCCGGGGAUAACAGGCUGAUACCGCCCAAGAGUUCAUAUCGACGGCGGUGUUUGGCACCUCGAUGUCGGCUCAUCACAUCCUGGGGCUGAAGUCGGUCCCAAGGGUAUGGCUGUUCGCCAUUUAAAGUGGUACGCGAGCUGGGUUUAGAACGUCGUGAGACAGUUCGGUCCCUAUCUGCCGUGGGCGUUUGAGAAUUGAGAGGGGUUGCUCCUAGUACGAGAGGACCGGAGUGAACGAACCGCUGGUGUUCGGGUUGUCAUGCC